rnacentral:sRNA from 1 species
AGGCCUAAUAAGAAAGUGAGAAAGAGGAAGGACAGAAAGAGGGACCAGCUGCGGGAUAAAGUGUUUUAUGGAGUUAGAGCAGGGGAACUUAGAAACAAAAGUGUAUUUAAUAACUUCAUGAGACUGUGAUAAACAGUUUAUAUUUGAAAUAUAUACAGCACUUUGGGAGACUGAGGGUUGACCCUGAUAGUCCUUUGCACAGUGAUCUUCAGAUCUUAAAAGAAAAAGAAGGCAUAGAAUAUAUUUUGCUUAACUUCUCUUUUAAGGAUAACUUUCCAUUUGAUCCUCCAUUUGUUCGAGUGGUGUUACCUGUUCUCUCAGGAGGGUAUGUAUUGGGUGGAGGAGCAUUAUGUAUGGAACUUCUCACAAAACAGGGCUGGAGCAGUGCCUACUCAAUAGAAUCGGUCAUCAUGCAAAUAAAUGCCACCUUAGUCAAAGGCAAAGCCAGAGUGCAGUUUGGAGCAAAUAAGAAUCAAUAUAAUCUAGCAAGAGCCCAACAAUCCUAUAAUUCCAUUGUACAGAUACAUGAGAAAAAUGG